GGUAUGAUGGUGUUUGCCAGCGAAGUUGCCCACUUAACCUCGCGGCGUACGUUCCAUAACGUGCAAAAAUACUUUUCAGAAUG
rnacentral:ncRNA from 1 species